AAAAACAUGGCCUUUUGAUAAUAAUUUAAGGUCUAGCCUGCCCAAUGAGUUUUUCUUGAAUGGCCGCAGUAUCUUGACUGUGCAAAGGUAGCAUAAUCAAUAGUUUUUUAAUUGAAAGCUGGAAUGAAAGGUCUUAUGAGAAAAUAGCUGUCUCUAUUAAAAUUUAUUAAAACUUUAUUUUUAAGUUAAAAAGCUUAAAUUAAAAUGGAAGACGAGAAGACCCUAUAGAGUUUUAUAGUUUAUUUUAUACAUUAUUUUAGUAUUUAUUAUUUUGUAUAUUUUAAAUUAUUUAGUUGGGGUGAUUGGAAAAUUAAUUAAACUUUUCUUUAUUAAUACAUUAAUUUAUGAUUAUAUGAUCCUUUUAUUAAGAUUAAAAGAUAAAAUUACCUUAGGGAUAACAGCGUAAUUUUUUUUGAGAGUUCUUAUCGAAAAAAAAGAUUGCGACCUCGAUGUUGGAUUAAAAUUUAUUUAUGGUGUAGAAGCUAUAAUAUUAGGUCUGUUCGACCUUUAAAAUUUUACUUGAUCUGAGUU
rnacentral:rRNA from 1 species